rnacentral:rRNA from 1 species
UAGGGAAUAUUGGACAAUGGAGGCAACUCUGAUCCAGCCAUGCCGCGUGAAUGAUGAAGGCCUUAGGGUUGUAAAGUUCUUUUAGUGGGGAAGAUAAUGACGGUACCCACAGAAAAAGCCCCGGCUAACUCUGUGCCAGCAGCCGCGGUAAUACAGAGGGGGCUAGCGUUGUUCGGAAUUACUGGGCGUAAAGGGUGCGUAGGCGGUCUGCCAAGUUAGAAGUGAAAUCCCAGGGCUUAACCCUGGAAUUGCUUUUAAUACUAGCAGGCUUGAGAUCGGUAGGGGAUAGUGGAAUUCUUAGUGUAGGAGUGAAAUCCGUAGAUAUUAAGAGGAACACCAGUGGCGAAGGCGGCUAUCUGGACCGAUUCUGACGCUGAGGCACGAAAGUGUGGGGAGCAAACAGG